AUUACUUUGUUCAUAUUUUUACAGCCACCAGAAUCAGACUCAAGUCAAGUGCUCAAAAGUGAAAUAGCAUGUUGGUCUCUUCAAUGCAAUGAUAAAUAAAAUAGUUAUAACUAAUUAAAUAGUCAUAUCUCACUUUGACUUUAUGUACAGUUUGCUCGAGGUCAAAACACAGCUCAUUCAUACAAAUCAAACAGUGACACUGGCUAUAUGUCUGCUUUCUUUUUUAUAGCAAUAAAAGCAUAGAGAUAUAUAAAGCAAAGACAACUAUAAGAUAAUCCUUUAGGAGCCAGUAAAACAUCUACAGUUACAGCAGUAAACAUACUUGUUAUGGGUGCAAAUAAGGAGACUUAGACAUGUCUCUGUGAAACUGACAAUCUCAGGUAGGAGCUGCUGGUUUGUGGUUGGCAGUAUGGAUCACAGUCUGCGACUCAUGAGGAGCUGGGCUGGAGACAUGAAGAGGUUGUUAACAGGCCAUCCAUCCAAGAUCAUCUAUCUGAGCUGCUGAAAACUGCCUCGGUACGGAUCUGUUGGAGCUUUGUGUCACUGACUGUAUUUCUGCAAAUUCCUGUUCCGUGUCAAAUGGCUUAUGCAAGACUGAAUCCAUAAAGGGGAUGGUCUGUGGAGACUGUGGGCGAUUCCUUCUGCUGUCAUUUAAACAUGAGCAGGAGUAAUGACGGGAUUUAAAUGGACGAAGCUAAUAUUAUGCCAGAGUCCGCUGCUUAUGCUGUAACCAUAAAGCAACCAGGACAACACACCUGGAGUGACCGAGAGCAGGAUGAAGAAAGAAUCGGACGAGAAAAUAUCAAUUGGUGCCCAUGAGGAGACAUAUUGUUCUUGGACCUGCUUUUUCUGUUUAGUAAUAAGUGGUUUUAUGUGGUUACAUAAAAGUAAUUUAAUAUUCAAUCCACAAGCUAAAUUUCCUACAUUUUCUUAAAAGGGUAGUUGACCCAAAAAGGAAAAUUCUGUCAUUUACACAAACAGUUUGGUUACAAACAUUUCUCACAAUAUCUGCCUUCCUGUUUAUCAGAACAAAGAAAUGUAUGCGGGUUUGUAACAACAUGAGAGUGUGUAAAUGACAUAAUUUUCAUUUUUGGGUGAAGUACCCCUUUAACAUUUUUAUACACCGGGGUAGGGGUGUGCAGCGGAGUCAGUAUUUGUAUCUGUAACAGUCUCAAAAUUAUUUGUAUCUGUAUUUGUAUUCGGAUUAAACCGGAAGUGGGUGGGUUGACAACUCAUAUUACAUUAAAAUGGCAUUUUAAAUGCAUUUUUGCUUUUUAUUAUAAUUAUAACUUAAAUAACUGUAAAUAUUUAUUCAAAAUAAUAAUACAAAAUUUUAAUCAAAAAGACAAAUAACUUGAUUCUCGUUAGUUAUACUCAUGGAAAGCAAACAACUCAUUUUUAAAGCCUCAUACAGC